rfam:Drosophila busckii chromosome 2R sequence.
UAACAACUGAUGAGAAAAUUAAACUGAAACGAUGUUCUGGUCUAUUUUUGAACGUUACAUUGUUAACAAAGGAUGGUCGCAUUUGCGAGGCAUUUGUCUGAUGUGCAA